rnacentral:lncRNA from 1 species
CUAAUGCCUGGAACUGCAUAAAUUUCUUCUACAAAGGAAGCCCACAGGUCGUUUUUAUUUGGAGCACUUUUUUUAAUAUGCGCCACAAUAUAUUCCGGAAUAUCAGACAUUAAUGAACCAGUAAAGAAGAUACUGAGGUGCAGAAGAGCUUUCCCAGUGUCCCGGGAGCCAUUCUACACAGCAUCCUACAGAAUGACUGUGGAUCUGCUGUGCUUAGUUUCUUUACUUGUGAAAACAGAGUAAUAGCAGCACCUACCUCACAGGGUUGUUCUGAAGAUUAGAGGGGUUCUUUCAUGGGAAGCUCUAGAGCAGUGCUUGAGACAUGACUCCAUCCCAGACACAGCAUACCAGAGUCUCCAAAGGGCUAAGCUCAGCAAUCUGUUCUCAAGCUCCCAACAGGAGUCUUAUAUAGUCAGGCAGGCAAUGAUCAUAUAUGGGGACCAUUAGAAAUAAUCUAAUGCAUACCCUCUGAACUUCAAAUUUUUAGUAUUCUCAUUUUCUGCUCAAGCUCAAUUUCAACACAGUUCACAGUUUCUCAUAUCCACCAUGGCAUUCUGCCAAGGAACUACAACUCGUGUUCUCUAAACCCAUCUGUUCUAAGAAUGCUGGGCUGGUUAUCAAUUUCUAAUGUACCUGCUUAAACUUUCCUCUCUCAAUAUGUCCCUGACUGAACUGCAGAAGACAGAACAACUGUACUAGCCAUCUCUUUCUGCAUAUCCCAUGUCCCCACAGAGGCCACUGUGUCUUCAUAAAGCUAACUGCCACGAUUUUCACAAGUGAUAUU